rnacentral:rRNA from 1 species
CCUACGUGUGGCAGCAGUGGGGGAUAUUGCACAAUGGGGGGAACCCUGAUGCAGCGACGCCGCGUGGGUGAAGGAGUGCUUCGGCAUGUAAAGCCCUAUCGGCAGGGAAGAAGCAAGACGGUACCUGACUAAGAAGCCCCGGCUAACUACGUGCCAGCAGCCGCGGUAAUACGUAGGGGGCGAGCGUUAUCCGGAUCCACUGGGUGUAAAGGGAGCGUAGACGGCCAUGCAAGCCAGGGGUGAAAGCCCGGGGCCCAACCCCGGUACCGACCGUGGAAUUGCAUGGCGGGGGUGAGGGGGGGGCAGGCGGAAUUCCUGGUGUAGCGGGGAAAUGAGGAGAGAUCAGGAGGAACACCGGCGGCGAAGGCGGCCUGCUGGACUGCGACUGACGUUGAGGCUCGAAAGCGUGGGGAGCGAACAGGAUUAGAUACCCGAGUAGUC